GACAAGCACGACCACAUGCUUCCCAGUUCAUUUUGUUCCUAAGUGGAUACUGAACUCCUGGAUUUCUCCUGCAUCAUGCUGAAAAAUUUUAACAGUUUUCAAAGUCUGCACAGAGGACAACUUACCUUUGGAUGUUAUGACCCUUAGCACAUCUUAAGUAUAGAUAUCAAGACGGAAGAUGGUACUCCUGAGAAUCUGAAAUGGCUGUGUUUCACCAAUGCUGCAGCCUGGCAACGCGCACCAUUCAAACUCCACAGCAUCUUUCAGCAUGAGAUGGAGAUUUUUAGACCUACGGGAACAACUACCUGCAGAGAGACUCCGCGGAUAGGUCACAGUUUCCGAUGGUCCAAGUGCAGUCCUGUGGUGAUAUC